GUCAUUGAUAAAAGUAGAAGCACCUCAUACGCAUCUAUGCGGAACGGGAUCUGCUCCUCUCAUUUGGGCGCCGGAACACAUCAAUAAUAACUUUAUAAUUACGGGAGAUGUUCCUAAUGAAUGAUAGGAUGUGCGUGUGAGCGCCCUAUGUGAAGAGCUAUUCCGAAAUACGUGCCAUCAGAGACCUAGCAAGAUGGAUACGGUAUGGUCAAGCAGAGAUGAUCUUACUCCUUCACGGAGACAAAGCCUAAAAAGCUUAUGGUGUCACAGUCAUUAUAAUCAUAGAAGCCACCUCCAUUAGUUCAGGUUCUGUUUAACCUUUUUUUGGCAAGUAGACUUCCGUUGAUGAUGUUCAGGCUUUGAAUUUGAAUCCAUGUAAAUGUAAUAUUUCCACGUAGCGGACUACAGAAGAAGAAUGAUCAUCGUCUAUACCUGCCUGGACUGGAAUCUGGAGUCUGCACCAAGAAUGGAGAAUGCACAUAAGAUUUACUGCUUUGUUGACGAUCCAUGCAGUGACUUGUGACAACAGAGCCCGGCUCCGGCAGGGCUGCAGGCAAGGCUGAGAGUAGAUGGGCAGGCCCAGCCAACCAAACACUUGAGCCCCACGAGACGAGAGAAGCAGCAGGAGCAGGAGCUUCCUCGUCAUCCCAGCCCCACCACACCCAAAUUCACCAGUGACCCCUUCUGCUGUUCCUUUAAUCUUCCUCCUUCACGCCUGCACAGAAGGACAGAGCCUCUCAAAAGAAGAAGAAAAAAAAAAAAAAA